AUGUUCAUGAUCGAUUUGCAAUCACAAUGGUUACAUCCUCAAAAUCACUCUUUGUUAUCGAAAGAAAGGGGCCUAUAAAUUCAGAGACGAAUCUACAAUUUCUAAAAGAUGAGUUCACUACUAAAGAAAGGAGGAAAAAAAUGCUUCAAGUGGGGAUUGAUCGUUGAACCUUUAGAAAAGUUCAAGAACCUCCAUUGUUAAUCAAGGAUCAAAAGGAGAAGGCAUAUAGGAGUUCGUUCGUUCAAGGUUUGCAUUUUUUAGAGCUUCUUACUUCUUUUUGCUGAUUUGUGGGAUUCGUUCACGGUUGGCUUUAUAAUACUUAUGGAGGCCUCUCUUAGGCCUAAUAUUGCUCAAGCAUGGAACAAAAGAAAGAAAUUUUAUUUUAAUUUAACCAAUGACUAUUCUUUUUUUCCCAUUAAAGUCUUUUAGCCACUCUGUUAGUUUUGUUCUUUUAGUCUCACUGUUAGAUAGGUGAAUAUGUUGGAGUGCAUUAGCUUAUUUGAAUUUGUUAAGUUUAGAGCAAGAGAAUAAUGCAAACUAAGUUAGAUAGUUAAUCAGGUUAGCCUACUUACCUUAGCAGAUGCUUUUGGUAAUAGGAUGUUGGUCCUAAUUCACGGUUAAUAGAAGUCAUUAAUUCAAUUUAAUUACUGGAUGAUAUUUCAUUUUAGAUGGUCAAUACUUCUAUUUUAAAAGCUUCUAGAGAUGGACUUCGUUUCUCUUGAAAAAUUUUAGUAUUCUAGGGAAGAAGCUCGUAACAAUGGGUAAUCUUAUUCUUUCUCUAAUUGAGUACUUCUAGGUUCUAUUGUCAUAUGGAAACAACUUGUCAUCAUGUAAGCUCUAACGCGUGUUAAUCUUUCUGUCAGAUAGCACAAUAUGAAUAAAAUAAUGUCACUUGAAGUAUUAAAAGUUUGUGUUUUGUAAUGAAUCUGAUUUUGAAUGUACUGUUUCAAGAAUUUGGUCAGUAGUUAAGCUAGUAUUACUGUAGAAAUCAGAUUAUUUUUAACUUUAAGUAAUUGUGUGUUAUAAGCAGUAUCCACUUUUUAAUUAUGUUCUUAUAUCUUGUAAUUUGUGUGUUGGACAUCUUAUAUUUUGUAUCUAAGCUUUAUCAUGUUCUGAAUUCUUUCACGAGCUAAUUUUUUUUUCAACGUUGUGCGAGGCAUACAUCGUCCACCAAAUUCAUGGGAAAUAUUUAAGAAGCUGCAUAAAAGAAAAGAUGGCAGCUUUGUUGAUACCAAGUCUAACAACAUUAAUGUUGACAUCCUUUCUAUCAAUGAUAAAUGUGUGUAGGAUGAAAUGGAGGCUAGGGUGGCUGCUGCUAUAUCAGGCUCAUCAGAUGAUUCACCAGAAGUCCACGAACUCGAUGUAAAUCGCAUAUACUUAGAUGUUGUAGGUGGAGAGAAAAAACGACGUGUGUAUGGAUUGGGCUCUCAAGCUCUCAAGCUUUGAGUUUGUAUCAAGACUGCAAUUCUGCUACUUCAUAAAAUUUGUCUGUGGUGACUGAUCGUGCUGCUGAAGAACGCUUCAAACUUCUUGAGGAAGAGAUGUUGCGUAUGAGAGAAAAUCAAGAGAGAAUUCUUCAAGAGCGUGUGGAGGCAAAGGUGCAACGUCUUGAGGAGGAGGUGAAACAACGUAUAGAGCAAGAGGUAUCGCGUUUCACGCAAGAAAGUGAUGAUCGGUUUAAGUCUAUAGAGGAUCGAUGGUCUCGCAUGAUGAGCGAGAUGGCGCUAUCUUCUCGAUCAUCUGGCGAUCCCACUCUUUCUUUAGUUACUUGGAAACUCUUUUAACGUUAUCAAAACUUUUGUUAGUUGGAUGCUUUGUAAGUUUUGAUAUUUGUAGACUUUUGCUUAUUGAAGUUGUGUUUUUGCACGUUUUAACUUCAUGCUUUUGUAUUGUAAAUUUAA